rnacentral:rRNA from 1 species
CUGUGUCCUUCGACGCCGGUUCACCGCCUGGCGGUGCCAACUGGCGUUUUGCGGGACGUCCUGUCGGUGGUGUGUCAGGAAUCUUAGUUGUGCUAUGCUUUGCUUAGUGCAGCUCUGGUUUCGGGCCACUUUCAUAAUCCCGCCGCGGUGCUCUUAAUCGAGUGUCGAGGCGGGCCGGCACGUUUACUUUGAACAAAUUAGAGUGCUUCAAGCAGGCUUGUCACGCCUGUAUACUGUGUGCAUGGAAUAAUGGAAUAGGACCUCGGUUCUAUUUUGUUGGUUUCCGGAAUCUGAGGUAAUGAUCAAUGGGGACAGGCGGGGGCAUUCGUAUUGCGACGUUAGAGGUGAAAUUCUUGGAUCGUCGCAAGACGGACCGAAGCGAAAGCAUUUGCCAAGUAUGUUCCCGUCGAUCAAGAACGAAAGUUAGAGGUUCGAAGGCGAUCAGAUACCGCCCUAGUUCUAACCAUAAACAAUGCCUGCCAGCGAUCCGCCGGCGUCCCUCCGAUGACCCGGCGGGCAGCUUCCGGGAAACCAGAGCUUUUGGGUUCCGGGGGAAGUAUGGUUGCAAAGCUGAAACUUAAAGGAAUUGACGGAAGGGCACCACCAGGAGUGGAGCCUGCGGCUUAAUUUGACUCAACACGGGAAAACUCACCAGGCCCGGACACCGGAAGGAUUGACAGAUUGAUAGCUCUUUCUUGAUUCGGUGGGUGGUGGUGCAUGGCCGUUCUUAGUUGGUGGAGCGAUUUGUCUGGUUAAUUCCGAUAACGAACGAGACUCUAGCCUACUAACUAGACGUAUCUGGUAUCAACAAUCGUGCUACCAGCGAUCAUAUCUCUUCUUAGAGGGACAGGCGGCUUCUAGCCGCACGAGACUGAGCAAUAACAGGUCUGUGAUGCCCUUAGAUGUCCUGGGCCGCACGCGCGCUACACUGAAGGAAUCAGCGUGUCUUCCCUGUCCGAAAGGACCGGGUAACCCGCUGAACCUCCUUCGUGCUUGGGAUUGGGGCUUGCAAUUGUUCCCCAUGAACGAGGAAUUCCCAGUAAGCGCGAGUCAUAAGCUCGCGUUGAUUACGUCCCUGCCCUUUGUACACACCGCCCGUCGCUACUACCGAUUGAAUGAUUUAGUGAGGUCUUCGGACCGGUGCGCGGAGGCGGUUUUCCGCUCCCGAUGUUGUCGGAAAGAUGACCAAACUUGAUCAUU